UACGUAGGGUGCGAGCGUUGCUCGGAAUUACUGGGCGUAAAGGGCGCGUAGGCGGGUCGUUUAGUUAGAGGUGAAAGCCCAGGGCUCAACCCUGGAAUUGCCUUUAAUACUGGCGGCCUUGAGUAUGGCAGAGGCGUGUGGAACUCCGAGUGUAGAGGUGAAAUUCGUAGAUAUUCGGAAGAACACCAGUGGCGAAGGCGACACACUGGGCCAUUACUGACGCUGAGGCGCGAAAGCGUGGGGAGCAAACAGG
rnacentral:rRNA from 1 species